AACGAACGCUGGCGGCAUGCCUAACACAUGCAAGUCGAACGAGACCUUCGGGUCUAGUGGCGCACGGGUGCGUAACGCGUGGGAACCUGCCCUUAGGUUCGGAAUAACUCCCCGAAAGGGGUGCUAAUACCGGAUAAUGUCUUCGGACCAAAGAUUUAUCGCCUUUGGAUGGGCCCGCGUUGGAUUAGCUAGUUGGUAGGGUAAAAGCCUACCAAGGCGACGAUCUAUAGCUGGUCUGAGAGGAUGAUCAGCCACACUGGGACUGAGACACGGCCCAGACUCCUACGGGAGGCAGCAGUGGGGAAUAUUGGACAAUGGGCGAAAGCCUGAUCCAGCAAUGCCGCGUGAGUGAUGAAGGCCUUAGGGUUGUAAAGCUCUUUUACCCGGGAUGAUAAUGACAGUACCGGGAGAAUAAGCUCCGGCUAACUCCGUG
rnacentral:rRNA from 1 species